rnacentral:rRNA from 1 species
UACGGAGGAUCCGAGCGUUAUCCGGAUUUAUUGGGUUUAAAGGGUGCGCAGGCGGGAUGUUAAGUCGGCGGUGAAAUUUUGCAGCUCAACUGUAAAAGUGCCUUCGAUACUGGCUUUCUUGAGUGUGGAUGAAGUAGGCGGAAUUUGUGGUGUAGCGGUGAAAUGCUUAGAUAUCACGAGGAACUCCGAUUGCGCAGGCAGCUUACUAAACCACUACUGACGCUCAGGCACGAAGGUGUGGGGAUCAAACAGGAUUAGAUACCCCGGUA